UGCAGUCGAGCGAAUCAAUAGGAGCUUGCUCCUGUUGGUUAGCGGCGGACGGGUGAGUAACACGUGGGCAACCUGCCUGUAAGACUGGGAUAACACCGGGAAACCGGUGCUAAUACCGGAUAAUCCUUUUCCUCUCAUGAGGAAAAGCUGAAAGUCGGUUCCGGCUGACACUUACAGAUGGGCCCGCGGCGCAUUAGCUAGUUGGUGAGGUAACGGCUCACCAAGGCGACGAUGCGUAGCCGACCUGAGAGGGUGAUCGGCCACACUGGGACUGAGACACGGCCCAGACUCCUACGGGAGGCAGCAGUAGGGAAUCUUCCACAAUGGACGAAAGUCUGAUGGAGCAACGCCGCGUGAGCGAUGAAGGCCUUCGGGUCGUAAAGCUCUGUUGUUAGGGAAGAACUAGUACCGGAGUAACUGCCGGUACCUUGACGGUACCUAACCAGAAAGCCACGGCUAACUACGUGCCAGCAGCCGCGGUAAUACGUAGGUGGCAAGCGUUGUCCGGAAUUAUUGGGCGUAAAGCGCGCGCAGGCGGUCCUUUAAGUCUGAUGUGAAAGCCCACGGCUCAACCGUGGAGGGUCAUUGGAAACUGGGGGACUUGAGUGCAGAAGAGGAAAGCGGAAUUCCACGUGUAGCGGUGAAAUGCGUAGAGAUGUGGAGGAACACCAGUGGCGAAGGCGGCUUUCUGGUCUGUAACUGACGCUG
rnacentral:rRNA from 1 species